GCCUUGACUUCCUACUGAAAUGAAGGUUAAUUUUCAGCUUUGCUAAUGAUACCCAGGACCUCCUGAGUAGUCAAAGAGAUGGCCAUGAGGGGAAGCCUAUGGGCAUGGCAAGAAAAGGGGUCUGGCUUGGCAGGGGAAGUUGUGAGUCCCUGGGCUCCCAGUUAUGGUCAGAAAAGGUCAACAUAGGGAAAUGACAGGUAGAAAGUGUGAAAUACAGACAGUGAGCAACAGAAAUGGGCAAAUUGUUUGUCUUCAAUCUUUCUCUAUUUUUUAGAUUGUUUUAGCAAUAAGAAAAAAUAUUAUUUUGGAGGAGAAAAAAUGUAUAACCACUACAUUUGUUUUCCAUAUUCAAAUUGGUUAUUUAUUGCACCUUGUGCUUAUAAGGUGCAAUAUGCACAUGAAAAAAGUGAUAUGUUUCAUUUUAGUCUCGUCAUAACAAAUCAAACCAUGUUAGAAUCACAUCUGAGGUAAUAUACCAAGUCAACAUGGCGUUGCAUAAUGAAGUGCAGUGGAAAACCUCAUCCUGAAGGCUUUUCUUGAAGACUGACGCCUGAUUCCAACACAUCCCUGGAGUGAAGAGGUCAUGGCACAGAAGACGCUGUGGGGCCUUCUCCUCCUGGAGUUGGUACCAGUGGAUGUAGAGGUAUUUUCUACAGGAAGAUCACAGGUGAUAACAGCAGAUGACCCUGACCCUCUGGUGCCUGACUUUAUUCUUGCUUCCAGGGCACUUGGAGGCAACCACCCAAGGCCACUCUGAGAAGGGUUGAACCUGCUUUAUUAAAAGGACUGAGGAUCAUGUAUGUUGGUGGGUUUGGACUCUCCUGUAAGGUAAAUGCGUGUGUCAGGGGGUGGAGGUGGGGAAGGAGUGUCUGUGAUCCUGUGGGUGUGAUCUCUUUAUUAGAGGAUUUUUGUUCAUUGAAGUAGGUGUAUGAGUUGUUGUUGUUGUUGCUGUUGUUUAAGUAGUUCAGGGUGCCAUGUCAUGCAAUAUUUGGAAUAUACAUAAACCAAAAACUUGUUAUUUACCUGAACUUCCAAAUUCCCUGGGUAUUGUCUAUUUUGUUUGGCAGCCCUACCCUCAGAAAGUGAACUGAGAUCUGCAGUGCACCUGGAUUCACAGAUGGAGAUAUAGGGGACAAAACAAGUACAGUAAUAUAAUUGUGAAAAUUCAGUAGGGUAUACACAGAUUUUCACCUCCUCUAUAAGAAGUGUAUAGAGACACACAUUUAAAAUAUGCAUAAUGAGAUGUAGAACAAUGUCCCUCUCGGUGGUAGUGUUGGCCCAGCUCAGAGAGUUCAGUUUCUGCUGUCAUCACAGCUGGGAAUGAGAAAGGGAGGGGGCUCUGGUUGGUCUCCCUCUGCCACUGGACCACACGUGCAGGACAUGAAGCUGCCGUAGGAGCAGCUCUGAAAGCUGAGUUCUCAGGGCCUGUUGCAGGAAGUCAGGGACCCCGAAUGGAGGGACCUGAUGAAGCUGUGGCAGAAGAACAUAAAUUGUGAAGAUUUCAUGGACAUUUAUCAGUUCCCCAAAUUAAUAUUUUUAUAAUUUCUUACGCCUGUCUUUACUGCAGUCUUUGAACAUAAAUUGUGAAGAUUUCAUGGACAUUUAUCACUUCCCCAAUCAAUACUCUUAUAAUUUCCUAUGCCUG
rnacentral:lncRNA from 1 species